rnacentral:rRNA from 1 species
AUUGAACGCUGGCGGCAGGCCUAACACAUGCAAGUCGAGCGGAUGAAGGGAGCUUGCUCCUGGAUUCAGCGGCGGACGGGUGAGUAAUGCCUAGGAAUCUGCCUGGUAGUGGGGGAUAACGUCCGGAAACGGGCGCUAAUACCGCAUACGUCCUGCGGGAGAAAGUGGGGGAUCUUCGGACCUCACGCUAUCAGAUGAGCCUAGGUCGGAUUAGCUAGUUGGUGGGGUAAAGGCCUACCAAGGCGACGAUCCGUAACUGGUAUGAGAGGAUGAUCAGUCACACUGGAACUGAGACACGGUCCAGACUCCUACGGGAGGCAGCAGUGGGGAAUAUUGGACGAUGGGCGAAAGCCUGAUCCAGCCAUGCCGCGUGUGUGAAGAAGGUCUGCGGAUUGUAAAGCACUUUAAGUUGGGAGGAAGGGCAGUAAGUUAAUACCUUGCUGUUUUGACGUUACCAACAGAAUAAGCACCGGCUAACUUCGUG